rnacentral:rRNA from 1 species
CCUACGGGUGACAGCAGUGGGGAAUAUUGCACAAUGGGGGAAACCCUGAUGCAGCAACGCCGCGUGAGUGAAGAAGGAUUUCGGUAUGUAAAGCUCUAUCAGCAGGGAAGCAGAUGACGGUACCUGAGUAAGAAGCCCCGUCUAACUACGUGCCAGCAGCCGCGGUAAUACGUAGGGGGCAAGCGUUAUCCGGAUUUACUGGGUGUAAAGGGGGCGUAGACGGUGAGACAAGUCUGAAGUGAAAGGCCUGGGCUCAACCCCGGGACUGCUGUGGAAACUGCCUGACUGGAGUGGUGGAGAGGCACGCGGAAUUCCUAGUGUAGCGGUGAAAUGCGUAGAUAUUAGGAAGAACCCCAGUGGCGAAGGCGGCUUGCUGGACAGUAACUGACGUUGAGGCUCGAAAGCGUGGGGAGCAAACAGGAUUAGAUACCCUGGUAGUC